rnacentral:rRNA from 1 species
GACGAACGCUGGCGGCGUGCUUAACACAUGCAAGUCGAACGAUGAAGCUAGAGCUUGCUCUGGUGGAUUAGUGGCGAACGGGUGAGUAACACGUGAGUAACCUGCCCCGAACUCUGGGAUAACUGCUGGAAACGGUAGCUAAUACCGGAUAUGACCAAUGAAGGCAUCUUCUGUUGGUGGAAAGAAUUUCGGUUCGGGAUGGACUCGCGGCCUAUCAGCUUGUUGGUGAGGUAACGGCUCACCAAGGCGACGACGGGUAGCCGGCCUGAGAGGGUGAUCGGCCACAUUGGGACUGAGACACGGCCCAGACUCCUACGGGAGGCAGAAGUGGGGAAUAUUGCACAAUGGGCGCAAGCCUGAUGCAGCAACGCCGCGUGAGGGACGACGGCCUUCGGGUUGUAAACCUCUUUUAGUAGGGAAGAAGCGAAAGUGACGGUACCUGCAGAAAAAGCACCGGCUAACUACGUGCCAGCCGCCGCCGUAA